rnacentral:tRNA from 1 species
UCCCUGAUGGUCCAGUGGCUAAGACUCCAUGCUCCCAAUGCAGGGGGCCUGGGUUCAAUUCCUGGUUAGGGAA